rnacentral:rRNA from 1 species
UCUUAGACUUAUCACCCUGCAGCCCAAGACUGGUUACCCACUGAAGUCAAGCAGGGCUGAGCCUGGUCAGUACCUGGAUGGGAGACAACAUGGGAAACUAGGUUUCUGUUGGAA